rnacentral:lncRNA from 1 species
CAACAGUAUCUAAUUGGUCUGCAAGAGUGCGUCUUGGAGGAGUUCUUUCAGCCGUCUCCUCUGUUCCUCUAUGUGGUGAAGGUGAUAGUAAUCUGUCAGGUGAACGAAACAAAUCCCUAGAUGGGCGUCUGACUCUCCUUCUCCCUCUUGCUUCGCUUAAGCCUUCAAGAAGAGGUUGCGUAUUUUUCUUGCUUCUAGUAUGUCUAGUCUCCUGUUGCAU